CGCCCGAGCGUGGAGUGCGCACGCGGCAGUCGGGGAGGUGGUUUGGGGUGACGGAAUCCCUGUCCCGCUGCGCUUGGGUGAAUUUCUUUGUCUUGGUGCGCCGGCCGCGGCGUGCACGCUGCGGAGGAGGUGUGCUGGCGGCGCUCUGAGCCUGUGCGUUUGCGGACGGAGACUUGCGGAAGAAAUGGCAAUAAACGCGGGUGGUUACAGAGGCUUCACUGGAGAGAGUGGCGCCACCAAGCGCCUUUCCUGAGAACUACACUCAGCAUCUCAGCCUCAGACCACCUGAGCUUUGAAUUGUGUCUGCCACUUUCUCAGGAAGUGUGUGGAGCAUGAAGGAGAAAACCAUGAACCAGGACCUCAGGGAAUCCAAGAAACAGGAUAUGCAGCCCAGGAAAGAUGCAAGAGAAAGUGUUGCCGCCACAGCUGCGCAGCAGGCCUGGAGAGGAAUCAGUCCCAAACGGAGGAGGAAAACAGAGAGCUGCAAGGGAAGCGGGGGGGGGAAAUGUCUCUAAGAAACGAAAAUUGAAAAUCAAUUGAGGGGCGCCUGGGUGGCUCAGUGGAUUAAGCCGCUGCCUUCGGCUCAGGUCAUGA